ACCUACAAGUUGUUUUCAUUCAUACGUUGCGUUGGGCCGUGAAGGACGUAGCUUUCAAAUCAAUUUUGAACUUGAAGUCAUCUCUCCUUGUGUGCGCUUCUGAUUAUCGGCUGAAUGGCUCUCCUCUCCCGCCACGAGAACAGAGUUUCUGAGUCCACCGUCCCGGAGCGACCGGACCCGGAGGAGGACCUGCUCGUCGCUGCACGGCUCCUACAACUAUGGAGGAGGAAGAGCAUGGGUCGGCCGCCUAAUUUUUAGCUGAUUCGACCGGAGCGGAUCGACGCGUGGACGUCUGCGACUGCGUACACACACACUUCUCCGGUGGCUUCGCCAGAAAAAUCAAUGUAUGUGUCAACUGACCUCCAUGUAAUGAUGAUCACAGACAAUAAAAUAAACCGUUAAAAAAAUUAAUAUUCCCAAGU